rnacentral:sRNA from 1 species
AAAGCCACCCGGCCCAAGUUGAAGAAGAUGAAGAGCCAGACGGGACAGGUGGGUGAGAAGCAAUCGCUGAAGUGUGAGGCAGCAGCCGGUAAUCCCCAGCCUUCCUACCGUUGGUUCAAGGAUGGCAAGGAGCUCAACCGCAGCCGAGACAUUCGCAUCAAAUAUGGCAAUGGCAGAAAGAACUCACGACUACAGUUCAACAAGGUGAAGGUGGAGGACGCUGGGGAGUAUGUCUGCGAGGCCGAGAACAUCCUGGGGAAGGACACCGUCCGGGGCCGGCUUUACGUCAACAGCGUGAGCACCACCCUGUCAUCCUGGUCGGGGCAUGCCCGGAAGUGCAACGAGACAGCCAAGUCCUAUUGUGUCAAUGGAGGCGUCUGCUACUACAUCGAGGGCAUCAAUCAGCUCUCCUGCAAGGCAACUGGGCUGCACUGCUUAGAACUUGGUACCCAGAGCCACCACUUCCCCAUCUCAGCCUCCCCUGGUUCCAGCCAAGAUUCCUGGAACCAACUUCCCCGACACCCUUUGUCAGCCCUCGGGGGAGAGGGCAUCCCUGGUGGAGAUGCGGUCAGAACAGCAGGUCCUCAGAGCUGUGCU